GGUUAAGCGACUAAGCGUACACGGUGGAUGCCCUGGCAGUCAGAGGCGAUGAAGGACGUGCUAAUCUGCGAAAAGCGUCGGUAAGGUGAUAUGAACCGUUAUAACCGGCGAUGUCCGAAUGGGGAAACCCAGUGCAAUUCGUUGCACUAUCGUUAACUGAAUACAUAGGUUAACGAGGCGAACCGGGGGAACUGAAACAUCUAAGUACCCCGAGGAAAAGAAAUCAACCGAGAUUCCCCCAGUAGCGGCGAGCGAACGGGGAGCAGCCCAGAGUCUGAAUCAGCUUGUGUGUUAGUGGAACGGUCUGGAAAGUCCGACGGUACAGGGUGAUAGUCCCGUACACCAAAAUGCACAGGCUGUGAACUCGAAGAGUAGGGCGGGACACGUGGUAUCCUGUCUGAAUAUGGGGGGACCAUCCUCCAAGGCUAAAUACUCCUGACUGACCGAUAGUGAACCAGUACCGUGAGGGAAAGGCGAAAAGAACCCCGGCGAGGGGAGUGAAAAAGAACCUGAAACCGUGUACGUACAAGCAGUGGGAGCACCUUCGGGUGUGACUGCGUACCUUUUGUAUAAUGGGUCAGCGACUUAUAUUCUGUAGCAAGGUUAACCGUAUAGGGGAGCCGCAGGGAAACCGAGUCUUAACUGGGCGUUAAGUUGCAGGGUAUAGACCCGAAACCCGGUGAUCUAGCCAUGGGCAGGUUGAAGGUUGGGUAACACUAACUGGAGGACCGAACCGACUAAUGUUGAAAAAUUAGCGGAUGACUUGUGGCUGGGGGUGAAAGGCCAAUCAAACCGGGAGAUAGCUGGUUCUCCCCGAAAGCUAUUUAGGUAGCGCCUCGUGAACUCAUCUUCGGGGGUAGAGCACUGUUUCGGCUAGGGGGUCAUCCCGACUUACCAACCCGAUGCAAACUACGAAUACCGAAGAAUGUUAUCACGGGAGACACACGGCGGGUGCUAACGUCCGUCGUGAAGAGGGAAACAACCCAGACCGCCAGCUAAGGUCCCAAAGUCAUGGUUAAGUGGGAAACGAUGUGGGAAGGCACAGACAGCCAGGAUGUUGGCUUAGAAGCAGCCAUCAUUUAAAGAAAGCGUAAUAGCUCACUGGUCGAGUCGGCCUGCGCGGAAGAUGUAACGGGGCUAAACCAUGCACCGAAGCUGCGGCAGCGACACUAUGUGUUGUUGGGUAGGGGAGCGUUCUGUAAGCCUGCGAAGGUGUGCUGUGAGGCAUGCUGGAGGUAUCAGAAGUGCGAAUGCUGACAUAAGUAACGAUAAAGCGGGUGAAAAGCCCGCUCGCCGGAAGACCAAGGGUUCCUGUCCAACGUUAAUCGGGGCAGGGUGAGUCGACCCCUAAGGCGAGGCCGAAAGGCGUAGUCGAUGGGAAACAGGUUAAUAUUCCUGUACUUGGUGUUACUGCGAAGGGGGGACGGAGAAGGCUAUGUUAGCCGGGCGACGGUUGUCCCGGUUUAAGCAUGUAGGCUGAUUGUCCAGGCAAAUCCGGAUAAUCAAGGCUGAGGUGUGAUGACGAGGCACUACGGUGCUGAAGUAACAAAUGCCCUGCUUCCAGGAAAAGCCUCUAAGCAUCAGGUAACAUCAAAUCGUACCCCAAACCGACACAGGUGGUCAGGUAGAGAAUACCAAGGCGCUUGAGAGAACUCGGGUGAAGGAACUAGGCAAAAUGGUGCCGUAACUUCGGGAGAAGGCACGCUGGUGUGUAGGUGAAGUCCCUGCGGAUGGAGCUGAGACCAGUCGAAGAUACCAGCUGGCUGCAACUGUUUAUUAAAAACACAGCACUGUGCAAACACGAAAGUGGACGUAUACGGUGUGACGCCUGCCCGGUGCCGGAAGGUUAAUUGAUGGGGUUAUCCGUAAGGAGAAGCUCUUGAUCGAAGCCCCGGUAAACGGCGGCCGUAACUAUAACGGUCCUAAGGUAGCGAAAUUCCUUGUCGGGUAAGUUCCGACCUGCACGAAUGGCGUAAUGAUGGCCAGGCUGUCUCCACCCGAGACUCAGUGAAAUUGAACUCGCUGUGAAGAUGCAGUGUACCCGCGGCAAGACGGAAAGACCCCGUGAACCUUUACUAUAGCUUGACACUGAACAUUGAGCCUUGAUGUGUAGGAUAGGUGGGAGGCUUUGAAGCGUGGACGCCAGUCUGCGUGGAGCCAACCUUGAAAUACCACCCUUUAAUGUUUGAUGUUCUAACGUUGGCCCCUGACCGGGGUUGCGGACAGUGUCUGGUGGGUAGUUUGACUGGGGCGGUCUCCUCCCAAAGCGUAACGGAGGAGCACGAAGGUUAGCUAAUCCUGGUCGGACAUCAGGAGGUUAGUGCAAUGGCAUAAGCUAGCUUGACUGCGAGCGUGACGGCGCGAGCAGGUGCGAAAGCAGGUCAUAGUGAUCCGGUGGUUCUGAAUGGAAGGGCCAUCGCUCAACGGAUAAAAGGUACUCCGGGGAUAACAGGCUGAUACCGCCCAAGAGUUCAUAUCGACGGCGGUGUUUGGCACCUCGAUGUCGGCUCAUCACAUCCUGGGGCUGAAGUAGGUCCCAAGGGUAUGGCUGUUCGCCAUUUAAAGUGGUACGCGAGCUGGGUUUAGAACGUCGUGAGACAGUUCGGUCCCUAUCUGCCGUGGGCGCUGGAGAAUUGAGGGGGGCUGCUCCUAGUACGAGAGGACCGGAGUGGACGCAUCACUGGUGUUCGGGUUGUCAUGCCAAUGGCACUGCCCGGUAGCUAAAUGCGGAAGAGAUAAGUGCUGAAAGCAUCUAAGCACGAAACUUGCCCCGAGAUGAGUUCUCCCUGAGACUUUAAGUCUCCUGAAGGAACGUUAAAGACGAUGACGUUGAUAGGCCGGGUGUGUAAGCGCAGCGAUGCGUUGAGCUAACCGGUACUAAUGAACCGUGAGGCUUAACCUU
rnacentral:rRNA from 4 species